CGGCAACAGCUCAAAUUUGAAAUCUGGCCUUUGGCCCGAGUUGUAAUUUGUAGAGGAUGCUUUGGCAUUGGCAGCGGUCCAAGUUCCUUGGAACAGGACGUCACAGAGGGUGAGAAUCCCGUACGUGGUCGCUAGCCUUUACCGUGUAAAGCCCCUUCGAC
rnacentral:rRNA from 1 species